rnacentral:rRNA from 1 species
UGGAGGGCAAGUCUGGUGCCAGCAGCCGCGGUAAUUCCAGCUCCAAUAGCGUACAUUAAAGUUGUUGCAGUUAAAAAGCUCGUAGUUGAAUUUCGGGAUCAAUUUGCUGGUCGUGCCUCUGGUACGUACUGGUAUUAUUGGUUUCUCCCUUCUGACGAACCAUGAUGUCAUUAAUUUGAUGUCGUGGAGAAUCAGGACUGUUACUUUGAAAAAAUUAGAGCGUUUAAAGCAGGCAUUAGCUUGAAUACAUUAGCAUGGAAUAAUGAAAUAGGACGUCUGAUCCUAUUUUGUUGGUUUCUAGGAUUGACGUAAUGAUUAAUAGGGAUAGUUGGGGGCAUUAGUAUUCAAUUGUCAGAGGUGAAAUUCUUGGAUUUAUUGAAGACUAACUACUGCGAAAGCAUUUGCCAAGGAUGUUUUCAUUAAUCAAGAACGAAAGUUGGGGGAUCGAAGACGAUCAGAUACCGUCGUAGUCUUAACCAUAAACUAUGCCGACUAGGGAUCAGAUGAUGUUAAUUUUUUUUAAUGACUCAUUCGGCGCCUUACGGGAAAC